UCAAUUUUAACUGAAAGAACAACCAGCAAGAAAAUGAUGAUCAUCAACAUCUGUAUCUGGACACUCAUUCUUUCUGUUCAAGAAACUGCAGGACAAAUUUCUGUGACCCAGACUCCCUCAGCAGCAGCUGCUCAACCAGGAGAAACAGUUACUAUAAACUGUCAGACUAGCAGAGGAAUUGGAGAUCGUUCAUGGGGUUGUGGCUCCUGUCUCGCCUGGUAUCUGCAGAAACCUGGAGAAGCUCCUAAACUCCUCAUUUAUAGCAUUAGAUCACGGCAGUCAGGAACUCCAUCUAGAUUCAGUGGCAAUGGAGCAGAUUAUGGAACAGAUUUCACUCUGACCAUCAGUGGAGUCCAGACUGAAGAUGCUGGACAUUAUUACUGUCAGAGUUACCACUGGAUCAACAGUAAAGCUGUGUUCACACAGUGAUAAAGAGUCGUACAAAAACCUCCUUCAGUCAGAGUCACAGUGACUGAACUGAUCACUCACUCAACAGUCAAGA